rnacentral:rRNA from 1 species
CAUGCCGCGUGUCUGAAGAAGGCCUUCGGGUUGUAAAGGACUUUUGUCAGGGAAGAAAAGGGCGGGGUUAAUACCCCUGUCUGAUGACGGUACCUGAAGAAUAAGCACCGGCUAACUACGUGCCAGCAGCCGCGGUAAUACGUAGGGUGCGAGCGUUAAUCGGAAUUACUGGGCGUAAAGCGGGCGCAGACGGUUACUUAAGCAGGAUGUGAAAUCCCCGGGCUCAACCUGGGAACUGCGUUCUGAACUGGGUGACUAGAGUGUGUCAGAGGGAGGUAGAAUUCCACGUGUAGCAGUGAAAUGCGUAGAGAUGUGGAGGAAUACCGAUGGCGAAGGCAGCCUCCUGGGAUAACACUGACGUUCAUGCCCGAAAGCGUGGGUAGCAAACAGGAUUAGAUACCCUGGUAGUCCACGCCCUAAACGAUGUCGAUUAGCUGUUGGGCAGCAUGACUGCUUAGUAGCGAAGCUAACGCGUGAAAUCGACCGCCUGGGGAGUACGGUCGCAAGAUUAAAANUCAAAGGAAUUGACGGGGACCCGCACAAGCGGUGGAUGAUGUGGAUUAAUUCGAUGCAACGCGAAGAACCUUACCUGGUCUUGACAUGUACGGAACCCUCCAGAGACGGAGGGGUGCCUUCGGGAGCCGUAACACAGGUGCUGCAUGGCUGUCGUCAGCUCGUGUCGUGAGAUGUUGGGUUAAGUCCCGCAACGAGCGCAACCCUUGUCAUUAGUUGCCAUCAUUAAGUUGGGCACUCUAAUGAGACUGCCGGUGACAAGCCGGAGGAAGGUGGGGAUGACGUCAAGUCNUCAUGGCCCUUAUGACCAGGGCUUCACACGUCAUACAAUGGUCGGUACAGAGGGUAGCCAAGCCGCGAGGUGGAGCCAAUCUCACAAAACCGAUCGUAGUCCGGAUUGCACUCUGCAACUCGAGUGCAUGAAGUCGGAAUCGNUAGUAAUCGCAGGUCAGCAUACUGCGGUGAAUACGUUCCCGGGUCUUGUACACACCGCCCGUCACACCAUGGGAGUGGGGGAUACCAGAAGUAGGUAGGGUAACCGCAAGGAGCCCGCUUACCACGGUAUGCUUCAUGA